rnacentral:rRNA from 1 species
UACGUAGGGUGCGAGCGUUAAUCGGAAUUACUGGGCGUAAAGCGUGCGCAGGCGGCUUUGCAAGACAGAUGUGAAAUCCCCGGGCUUAACCUGGGAACUGCAUUUGUGACUGCAUGGCUGGAGUGCGGCAGAGGGGGAUGGAAUUCCGCGUGUAGCAGUGAAAUGCGUAGAGAUCGGAAAGAACACCAACGGCGAAAGCACUCUGCUGGGCCGACACUGACACUGAGAGACGAAAGCUAGGGGAGCGAAUGGG